rnacentral:rRNA from 1 species
CCACGGGUUGCUGCAGACGAGAAAACUUUGCAAUGUGCGAAAGCACGACAAGGUUAAUCCGAGUGGUUUCUGCUAAAGGAACCUUUUGACAGUCCUAGAAACACUGUUGAAUAAGGGGUAGGCAAGUUCUGGUGUCAGCCGCCGCGGUAAAACCAGCACCUCAAGUGGUCAGGAUGAUUUUUGGGCCUAAAGCAUCCGUAGCCGGCUCUGUAAGUUUUCGGUUAAAUCUGUACGCUCAACGUACAGGCUGCCGGGAAUACUGCAGAGCUAGGGAGUGGGAGAGGUAGACGGUACUCGGUAGGAAGGGGUAAAAUCCUUUGAUCUAUUGAUGACCACCUGUGGCGAAGGCGGUCUACCAGAACACGUCCGGCGGUGAGGGAUGAAAGCUGGGGGAGCAAACCGGAUUAGAUACCCGGGUAGUC